GGAGAGAUGUCCGAGUGGUCGAAGGAGCACGCCUGGAAAGCGUGUAUAGGGGCAACUCUAUCAGGGGUUCAAAUCCCCUUCUCUCCGCCA
rnacentral:tRNA from 26 species